rnacentral:rRNA from 1 species
GACGAACGCUGGCGGCGUGCUUAACACAUGCAAGUCGAACGGAAAGGCCCUGCUUUUGUGGGGUGCUCGAGUGGCGAACGGGUGAGUAACACGUGAGUAACCUGCCCUUGACUUUGGGAUAACUUCAGGAAACUGGGGCUAAUACCGGAUAGGAGCUCCUGCUGCAUGGUGGGGGUUGGAAAGUUUCGGCGGUUGGGGAUGGACUCGCGGCUUAUCAGCUUGUUGGUGGGGUAGUGGCUUACCAAGGCUUUGACGGGUAGCCGGCCUGAGAGGGUGACCGGCCACAUUGGGACUGAGAUACGGCCCAGACUCCUACGGGAGGCAGCAGUGGGGAAUAUUGCACAAUGGGCGGAAGCCUGAUGCAGCAACGCCGCGUGCGGGAUGACGGCCUUCGGGUUGUAAACCGCUUUCGCCUGUGACGAAGCGUGAGUGACGGUAAUGGAUAAAGAAGCACCGGCUAACUACG